UACGUAGGGGGCUAGCGUUGUCCGGAAUCAUUGGGCGUAAAGAGCGUGUAGGCGGCCCGGUAAGUCCGCUGUGAAAGUCGGGGGCUCAACCCUCGAAUGCCGGUGGAUACUGUCGGGCUAGAGUGCGGAAGAGGCGAGUGGAAUUCCUGGUGUAGCGGUGAAAUGCGCAGAUAUCAGGAGGAACACCGAUGCGAAGGCAGCUCGCUGGGACGUAACUGACGCUGAGACGCGAAAGCGUGGGGAGCAAACAGG
rnacentral:rRNA from 1 species